rnacentral:rRNA from 1 species
UCAUAUGCUUGUCUCAAAGAUUAAGCCAUGCAUGUCUCAGUGCAAGCCGUCCGCUAUUCGUUUAGUACACGGUGAAACCGCGAAAGGCUCAUUAAAUCAGUUAUGGUUCCUUAGAUCGUGCCCACGUUACUUGGAUAACUGUGGUAAUUCUAGAGCUAAUACAUGCCGACAGAGUUCUGACCAGCGCCGAGCGGGCGCGCACAUAUACGAGCCGCCGCGCGAACGUGGGCGUACGCAGCGGUGGUGUCCACGGCUGCGUGCGUGCAUCGUUGUCGUCGACGGCGGCCGUGUAGUGCGCCGCGUGUCUUCGGAGUUC